rnacentral:rRNA from 1 species
UACGUAGGGGGCGAGCGUUGUCCGGAGUUACUGGGCGUAAAGCGCACGCAGGCGGUCUGCUAAGUUUGGAGUGACAGUUGGUGGCUUAACUGCCAAAGUGCUUCGAAAACUGACAGACUUGAGGGCUUCAGAGGGACACGGAAUUCCGGGUGGAGUGGUGAAAUGCGUAGAUAUCAGGAGGAACACCGGUGGCGAAGGCGGGUCUCUGGGCAGUAACUGACGCUGAGGAGCGAAAGCGUGGGGAGCGAACAGG